rnacentral:rRNA from 1 species
UACAGAGGUCCCGAGCGUUGUUCGGAUUCAUUGGGCGUAAAGGGUGCGUAGGCGGUCUGCUAAGUUUGGUGUGAAAUCCCGGGGCUCAACCCUGGAAUGGCAUUGAAUACUGGCGGACUAGAGUACCGGAGAGGAAACUGGAAUUUACGGUGUAGCAGUGAAAUGCGUAGAGAUCGGGAGGAACAUCCGUGGCGAAGGCGGCAUCCUGGACCGACAUUGACGCUGAACGGCGAAAGCUAGGGGAGCAAACGGG